CCUACGAGUGGCAGCAGUGAGGAAUAUUGGUCAAUGGGCGCGAGCCUGAACCAGCCAAGUCGCGUGAGGGAGGACGGCCCUACGGGUUGUAAACCUCUUUUGCCGGGGAGCAACGGGCGCCACGUGUGGCGUCACUGAGAGUACCCGGAGAAAAAGCAUCGGCUAACGCCGUGCCAGCAGUCGCGGUAAUACUGAGGCUGCGAGCGUUAUCCGGAUUUCUUGGGCUUAAAGGUUUCGUAGGGGGAUCGUUAAGUCAGUGGUCAAAUUGCGGGGCUCAACCCCUUCCCGCCAUUGAAACUGGCUUUCUUGAGUGGAAGAGAAGUAUGCGGAAUGCGUGGUGUAGCGGUGAAAUGCAUAGAUAUCACGCAGAACCCCGAUUGCGAAGGCAGCAUGCCGGCUUCCGACUGACGCUGAAGCACGAAAGCGUGGGGAUCGAACAGGAUUAGAUACCCGAGUAGUC
rnacentral:rRNA from 1 species